CAGGUACUCCUGGACUUCUUUAGGGACUUCCGGUUCCUGUCAGAUGAGGUUUUCAUGGUCACUGCUGUUCACUUCCUGCUCCAGGACGAACGUCUGAACAAUAUUUAUAGCCUUAGCUCAUCUGAGCACAGGAGUUUUCUCAUCGAAACUGCAUUUAUUUGAUCAAAAGUACAGAUCGGCACUUCGGAGCAUGUUCGCGACUCGGUUGAUUCAGAUCGGCACUUCGGAGCCUGUUCGCGACUCGGUUGAUACAGAUCAGCACUUCGGAGCAUGUUGGCGACUCGGUUGAUUCAGAUCGGCACUUCGGAGGCCUGUUCGCGACUCGGUUGAUUCAGAUCGGCACGUCGGAGCCUGUUCGCGACUCCGUUGAUUCAGAUCGGCACUUCGGAGCCUGUACGCGACUCCGUUGAUUCAGAUCGGCACUUCGGAGCCUGUAAGCGACUCCGUUGAUUCAGAUCGGCACUUCGGAGCCUGUAAGCGACUCCGUUGAUUCAGAUCGGCACUUCGGAGCCUGUAAGCGACUCCGUUGAUUCAGAUCGGCACUUCGGAGCUUGUUCGCGACUCGGUUGAUUCAGAUCGGCACUUCGGAGCUUUUUCGCGACUCGGUUGAUUCAGAUCGGCACUUCGGAGCUUUUUCGCGACUCGGUUGAUUCAGAUCGGGACUUCGGAGCCUGUUCGCGACUCGGUUGAUUCAGAUCGGGACUUCGGAGCCUGUUUGUGAUUUUUUAAAAUUCAGAUCUGGACAUCGGAGCAGGAAGUUUUUGUCAAACAGUUCAUUGGUGAUAAAUGAAUAUUUGGACCUGAACCUUUUUUUUUUUUUUUUUGUCGAUUUGAUUUUUCAAUGAUUUCAAUGACUUUUGAAAGUAAAGCCUUCUUUUACCUCAGUUGCAUGUG